rnacentral:lncRNA from 1 species
GUCCCCAGGUGUGUCCAGGUGUGUCCAGGUGUAUCUCAGGUGUAUCUCAGGUGUCCCCAGGUGUGUCCAGGUGUCCCCAGGUGUAUCUCAGGUGUCCCCAGGUGUGUCCAGGUGUGUCCAGGUGUACCUUCUGGCCGAUGGCAGACACCAGGUAGCCGUGACAGUGACACAGGGCUGUCACCGGUCCCUUCUGCUCCUUCUCGUAGAGCACCUUGAACUUGUUCUUGGUGAGCGGCUGUCCCGGCUCCGGAACCACCUCGAUNUGUCAUUGUCACCAUGUCAUUGUCACUGGCAUUGUCACCGUGUCAUUGUCACCAGUAGUGUCACCGUGUCAUUGUCACAGUGUCACUGCCAUCACCAUUGCCGCCGUCGUCUUUGUGUCAUUGUCACCGUCACUGUCAGUAUCACUGUCACCAUCGCACCACUGUCACCGUGUCAUUGUCACCGUCAUGUCAUUGUCAUUGUCACCAUCACUGUCAGUAUCACUGUCACCAUCACACCACUGUCACCGUGUUGUUGUCAUCAUCAUGUCAUUGUCAUUGUCACCGUCACUGUCAUUGUCACCACCACCACCAUUGUCAUUGUCACUGUGUCACUGUCAUUGUCACAUCAUUGUCACAGUGAUGAUGACAACCGUGACAUGUCAUGACAAUGACAAUGACAGUCAUCC